ensembl:snRNA U7 U7 small nuclear RNA
AAGUGUUACAGCUCUUUUCAAAUUUGUCUAGCAGGCUUUUUGGGUUAGGCCAGAAAGUUCCCAA